GCCUUCGUAGCUCAGUUGGUAUAGCAUCGGACGCGUCAUCCGAAGGUCGUGGGUUCGGUUCCCACCGAAGGCA
rnacentral:tRNA from 1 species